ACUCACAUAGUCAAGUGGAUAAGACGCCUUGAAAUUAUAGAUUUGUCACAAGAUUUCAUCAUUCAAGGAGGCGGGGGUUCGAUUCCUCCUUUGAGUG